UGAGGAAUAUUGGUCAAUGGGCGCAAGCCUGAACCAGCCAUCCCGCGUGCAGGAAGACGGCGCUAUGCGUUGUAAACUGCUUUUCCAGGGAGAGAAACUUGCGCACGUGUUGCGCAAUUGACGGUACCCUGGGAAUAAGCAUCGGCUAACUCCGUGCCAGCAGCCGCGGUAAUACGGAGAAUGCGAGCGUUAUCCGGAGUCAUUGGGGUUAAAGGGUGCGUAGGCGGACUAUUAAGUCAGUGGUGAAAUCCUGCAGCGUAACUGCAGAACUGCCAUUGAUACUGAUAGCGUUGAGUUUGGUUAAGGUAGGCGGAAUGUGUAAUGUAGCGGUGAAAUGCUUAGAUAUUACACAGAACACCAAUUGCGUAGGCAGCUUACUGAGCCGACACUGACGCUGAGGCACGAAAGCGUGGGGAUCGAACAG
rnacentral:rRNA from 1 species